CACGUAGGGGGCGAGCGUUGUCCGGAAUUACUGGGCGUAAAGGGCGCGCAGGCUGUUAUGCGAGUCUGCUGUGAAAUGUACCGGCUCAACCGGUGCCUUGCGGCGGAUACUGCAUAGCUGGAGUACUGGAGAGGGAAGUGGAAUUCCAGGUGUAGCGGUGAAAUGCGUAGAUAUCGGGAGGAACACCGGUGGCGAAGGCGGCUUUCUGGCCAGUUACUGACGCCCAUGCGCGAAAGCUGGGGUAGCGAACCGGAUUAGAUACCCGGGUA
rnacentral:rRNA from 1 species